GCCCGAGUGGUGAAAUUGGUAGACACAAGGGACUUAAAAUCCCUCGACCUUUGGUCGUGCCGGUUCGACCCCGGCCUCGGGCACCA
rnacentral:tRNA from 1 species